GUUUUAAUAAUUUAACAGUAAAAUAUUGGUCUUGUAAACCAAAAAUAAGUCCAUCUUUUAAAACU
rnacentral:tRNA from 1 species